UACAGAGGUCUCAAGCGUUGUUCGGAUUCAUUGGGCGUAAAGGGCGCGUAGGCUGCGGGGCAAGUCGGGUGUGAAAUCUCAGAGCUCAACUCUGAAACUGCACUCGAUACUGCUUUGCUUGAGGACUGGAGAGGAGAUUGGAAUUCACGGUGUAGCAGUGAAAUGCGUAGAUAUCGUGAGGAAGACCAGUGGCGAAGGCGGAUCUCUGGACAGUCCUGACGCUGAGGCGCGAAGGCCAGGGGAGCAAACGGG
rnacentral:rRNA from 1 species